UACGGGGGGGGCGAAGCGUUGUUCGGAAUUACUGGGCGUAAAGGGCUCGUAGGUGGCCAACUAAGUCAGACGUGAAAUCCCUCGGCUUAACCGGGGAACUGCGUCUGAUACUGGAUGGCUUGAGUUCGGGAGAGGGAUGCGGAAUUCCAGGUGUAGCGGUGAAAUGCGCAGAUAUCAGGAGGAACACCGGUGGCGAAGGCGGAUCUCUGGGCAACAACUGACGCUGAGGAGCGAAAGCGUGGGGAGCGAACAGG
rnacentral:rRNA from 1 species